GCCAGGGUGGCACAGUGGUUAGCGCGUCUGCCUAGUGAGCAGGUGACACGGGUUCGAAUCCCAGCCUUGGUA